CAUGAUUGUCACCUCUGAAGCCAGUUAGUUAGUGAAGGAGCAGGUCAAGCUGACCCCGUGUCCUCAUUUAACGUGUCAAGACAGCCCUUAAUAUGGAAUCUUAAUUUCAGGCCUUAUGCCACAAGAGGGUAUGACAAAGUAAUUCUUCUUAGAACUAAUAAUGGAAUUUCACAGUGAAACAGUAUACAGGGUAAACACAUAAAGCCAUUUAAAGCUUGUGAUGA